AAUCAACGCUGGCGGCGUGCCUCAGACAUGCAAGUCGAACGAUUAAAGCUCUCUUCGGAGAGUGCAUAGAGUGGCGCACGGGUGAGUAACACGUAAGUAAUCUACCUUCGAGUGGGGAAUAACGUCCGGAACGGACGCUAAUACCGCAUAAUGCAGCGGCAUCGCAAGAUGACAGUUGUUAAAGGAGCAAUUCGCUUGAAGAGGAGCUUGCGGCAGAUUAGCUUGUUGGUAAGGUAACGGCUUACCAAGGCUACGAUCUGUAACCGGUCUAAGAGGACGGUCGGUCACACUGACACUGAAUAAACGGGUCAGACUCCUACGGGAGGCAGCAGUCGGGAA
rnacentral:rRNA from 1 species